AGUUCUGUUUUGUCAAUUCAAAAAUCUUAACCUUACUUUUACAAGUGAUUAGGAUUAUUAUUUUAUUUACAUAUAAAUUGAAACAAUAAAUAUUGUGCUGUGUCAUAAUUUAAAACUCAUUAUGUUGCAGUCUUUUCCAGUUGAUAAAAUUGCAAUUCAAAAACUUUUAGAUUUGCACUAGAUUGGCACAGAAAGAGAACAGUACAAGAACAUGAAACAUCUUAUUAUGAAUGUAUAUGUAAGUGAUCCUCAAAAAAUUAUUUUACAAAACAAGAUAGAGAAAGAGCUUUAAAAUCCCAAGGAUCCUGCAAAAUGUUUAUUUGGUGUACUAGUCGAAUAAUAGUAUCUAAAAAUAUUGAAACUAUUUUAAAACAUAUUACGGACACGAGGAUGAUAUAGAGCACUUACAUAAAUACCAAAAUCAGAUAAAUAUCUCUUCAAAGUUUAUUUUGAGACUUUCUUCAAAAAUGUAAGUAAAAUAUUUGCAUAUCGACGGCGGAAAGGUAGGACUUCGUAACUGAAAAAAUUUUAUAACAUGAGUUAAUUCAGUUUUCGCUUUAGAAUAAGUGUAUCGGCAGCUAUUAAACAGCGAUUACAGCUGGGAAAGUUUCCGGAAGGCUUCUAGAAGGCUUUCCCAGCUCUAAAAGCUGUUUAAUAGGUGCUGAUGCACUUAUUAUAAAUCGAAAACCGAAGUAACUCAUUUUAUACAAAUUUUUCAGUUAUGAGGUCCUGCCUUUCCGCCGUCGAUAUACACAAUAUAAUUUAAAACAAGAAUGUUACCACUAAACCACUUUUUUAAAUAUUACUCAUGAAUAUUUACUACAUUUUACAAUUUCAAACUAGUGUGUUUGAUUCUCCUAUACCUAUAUUUUACUUUUUUAGUAAACUUCAGACUGUUCAGGAUAGCAUAAUAGCAUAGGAGGCGAAUUAAAAAGAAUUAAUUUACUUACAAGUAAAGAUAUCACAAACAUUAAACUAUCUUAUGCUUACAGACUCAUGUCCAAUAUUAUUUUACAAACAACAGGGCAUACUAAUGGAUAUUCAUUCUGAAUUUAAUAUUUAUGAUUUUUGUCUUAUUUUCCUUAAUACUGUGCAAAAAUGAAAUGUUAAUUAAGUGUGGUAAAUCCUUUAUCGCAAUCGAUGGAACUCAUAGGCUCAAUUCCUAUGACUUUGAACUUAUGACAGUAUUAGUAAAAGAUGAAUUUGGGAAUGGAUUUUGUACUGCUUUCUUAUUUUCAAAUAGAAAAAAUACCUACUUUAAUUUACCGAUUUUUUAAAUACAUGUCUGUGUUGGUAUUAUAUGUAUAGUCAAAUGUUUUCAUAUCAGGCAUAAGCGACACCUUUUACAAUGCCUCGUCAAAUGUAAUGGGUAUUGCUCCUAAUAGACUGUUAAGUGCCUGGCACAUAGAUAGGGCAUGGUAAGUAAAUCUUAAUAAAAUAUCUGAUUCUGAAAAAAAUCCUAUUAUGUAUACAAGAUGUAUUAAUGAUGGUUUAGAGAGUAUUAAUAGCUUUUUGGGUAGACUUCUAAGUGAUGCAGAUACAUACAAUUUUAGUAAGUAUUUCCAGUAGAACUAGUGCAAUAACAUCCAACAAUGGGCCUAUUGUUAUAGGAAGGGGUUGUGGAAUUAAUACCAAUAUGACCAUUCAAAAUUUUCAUAAAAUUUUGGAUAAAAGGGUAUCCAUUAGUUGUUAUCAGUUAAGUUUGAAACUUCGCACUUAUGGAGAGCUAUACCAUAAUAUAUAAUAUGUAUAUCUCAUAAUAUUACAUCUCAUAUUGCUCACUCAUUACAAUAGUGAGCAAUAUGAGAUAUAACAUAUUAUAGUAUAAGUCUCUGUGCAUGACCAGAUUAACAUGUUUGGUGCCCAUCUCGAACAAGCUCCACUUGGCUGGUACCACAUACUUAAAUCAUUUAUUUAGUUACACAGUACUACUCACAUAACUUAUGUGUCGUCAGUACCUUCCGUAAAACCUUCGUGAUGCUACCCAUAUGUCAUGGCCACUGAAUGUGUUAAAGCGUGUUAAUGUAGGAGAGUUAUACUAAAAUAUAUAUCUUAUAUUAUAUUGCCUUAAAUAGAAAAAAUAUCUUAUUUAAAUUGUAUCCAUGUAAGUUUUGAUUUAAUGAAAUAAACCUUUUAAUCAAAAAAGUGUUGUUUACUUGUGUACACCCAGCAAUAUCCUGAUCAUAGAUAAAUAAUAUAGUAUUACCGGAUCCUGAUAUGCAGACGCCAAUAGGGCUUUUCAUCGAUUGUCAUUUGUUUCGAGCUUCUGUCAUGAGUCACAUAAUAUUAAUGUAUCUACGUCAUACGUCUUUGGUUUGUAUCAUUGGUAUAUAGCAUAUACCAAUAACGUAUGACGUAAAUAUAUUAAUAUUAUGAGACACAUGACAGAAGCUCGAAACAAAUGACUGUGAAUGAAAUGCCCUAUUGAAUAGGGCUUUUCAUCGAUUGUCAUUUGUUUCGAGCUUCGUUCAAGUGUCACAUAAUAUUAAUAUAUCUACGUCAUACGUCUUUGGUUUGUAUCAUUGGCAAUAUCAAUAACAUAUGACAUAGAUAUAUUAAUAUUAGACGACACAUGACAGAAGCUCGAAAUAAAUGACUAAGUGAAAAGCCCUAUAUCAUGUAAAUACAAGUCAUAAAGAUGUCCUUCUACGGUUAAAAUUUCACAGCCUAAAGACAUCAUUUAUGUAACUUCUUAAGCCGUCACAAAAUGACUGCAAUAAGAAAAUAGAAUUUAUUAACUCGCCUCGCCCCCAGGCAAAGUAAAGGUGCUAGGCCACUAAGAAUGUUUUUUUCAAUUUUUUUAUUUUGUGGCUUUAGCGCUUAGCUAUUUAGCCAGAUACAUGAUGAGAAUUAAUACUAUUAUAAUGCAUAUUAAAACUAAUUCAAAUUACUAGUAAUUUUAUUAAUAUUCUGAAUAAUUAUGUAACCACUUAAUACUACAAUAAAAAAGUGUCCAUCUAUAUUAUCCCAACACAUUUUAACCUUUGAAAUCGUAAAUUUCCAUUCCCAUUAAAAAAAUAAUUUGUACUGUAUAAGUAUAUUUCUUUUGAGCUUCAUUUUUUUUUUUCAAAAUACUGCAACAUGAGUUUUAAAUUAUGACACAGUACAAUACUUGUUUCAAUAUUUACAUGUAAAUAAAAUAAUCCUAAUUACUUGUAAAAGUAAGGUUAUAAAUUUAAGAAUACAGAACCACCGAACAACCCGAAGGCACAGUCGACUCGGCGGGAAAAGUUCGCGCAUCUGGUUUGCGCACGGCUGGCGGCCAUUUUUUCGGUCCACAGGUCCGCUGCUGACACGAUCAAUUUGUGAUUGUUGUUGUCAGAUCACGCUUGUUUCGGGGUUACUUUGAUUUUGUGUUGUUCUGUUCGGUGAUUUUGUUUUUGUGCAUUGUGCAAUAAUAAUUAUGGAUAUGGACAAAAAGAAAGGCAGUUCGAAUUUAAUCUGUGCAGCGAUCAACUGUAAAAACACGGUAUCAAAUUUCAGCUAUAGUUUUUUUCCGUUUUCCAAAAGACGAAUCAAGGUAAGCAUUUUUAAAUUCACAAUGUUUUUAUAAAUGUGUAUGUACUUAAAUGGGUAGGUACUUGAAAAUUUGGUGUUAACUAUGAAACUUUACCUAAUCAAUUAUUUUCAAUGGGAAAUAAGCCACAAUUUUACCAAAAAAAUGAUUUUAUUAACGUUUCGACGCCCAAGUCAGGUGUUAUUGUCAAAAUACAAAAUAAUUCUUGUAUUCAAUCAUUGAAAAUAGUUGAUUAUAAAAAUGCCACAAGGAAAUAGCUUCAGAACAAAACUUUACCUAUAUUAUGUAUACAGGGUGUCCAGAAACUCUACCGACAAACGAAGACAGGAGACUCCUCAUAUAAUUUUAAGACAUUUAAACCCAA